rnacentral:rRNA from 1 species
AUACGAAAGGUGCAAGCGUUGUUCGGAUUUACUGGGCGUAAAGAGAUCGUAGGUGGUUUGUUAAGUUGGAUGUGAAAUCCCGGGGCUCAACCUCGGAACUGCAUCCAAAACUGGCAGACUUGAGUUCGGGAGGGGUAAGCGGAAUUCCGUGUGUAGCAGUGAAAUGCGUAGAUAUACGGAGGAACACCUGAGGCGAAGGCGGCUUACUGGACCGAUACUGACACUGAGGAUCGAAAGCGUGGGUAGCAAACAGGAUUAGAUACCCCAGUAGUCC